UGAAGUAGGAACCUCGUGGAAAAAUAGUGUAAGGUACGUAGAAUAGUAUGUAUAUUUGUAAUUACCUGUAUGUACCUUAUUUUGGCUAGUAAAAAAUAGGGGCAGAUACUUUCUGAUU
rnacentral:lncRNA from 1 species